CAGCGCGUGUUCCCAUUGGCUUGGUCCGCUGCCAUUGGCUGGACGCGUGCUGCCAUUCGCUGUAAGGGCGGCGGGAGGCGGGGCCGAGAGAGGGAGGCUGAGGGAGGGUCAGAGGCUGCUGAGGAGUGCGGGGGAUGCUGAGUGCCACCUCUGAGCAGUGUCUCUGGGGUCCAACCUGGAGGAGCACGUUGUCAUUGACAUGUUGGGGUGAUCCUGAACUGGUGCUUCAAGCAGAGACUGCUCAGCAUGAGGAGGAUCUGCAUGUUCAUGUGGACAAGGCUGGACCUCAUGAUUGACAUGCAGGGCUUCUCUUCCCAGAGCAUCCACAUCCAGAGGUGGAUCACAGGAAAAUGCACAGGAAAAUGCAAAAGGAGGGAGUAAGAAGGGCUCUCCUAAGAGACUGACAGAUGCUGCUUUUCUCUGCCACCUUCUGUAAAAUGUGUGGAAGUUCACCUUGCAGAUCAUCUCCAGGUCCAUCAUUAUCAAGCUGCGGCAGGAGAAGCUUGCCCUGACCAACACCAGGCUACUGCUUUGCCUGCAGGAACUGGGAGCAGAAGUAUGCAGCCCUCUGCAACCUCUCUGGCAGCAUUUCCAGGCCUUAAUGUUCUGCCAGGUACAGUUCAUUUGCAAGCAGUGAGCUGCCAGUGAUCCAUCUGACAUGAUCAAGCCCAGUGUGAUGUCAACUCUGCUUCAAUGAUCUCCAAAAACGAGGGAACAGGUGCAAGGGAUGGAUGGGAAACACACAGAAUUAAAAGCUGAGAGUGGUAACAGCAUCUAAUAGUUGGAACCAAGCCAAUUGCUUGGCUUUCAUGGUGGGCAUUACAUGGAAACCAUGCUCUGUUCCCUCAGCCUUUGUGUUCUGUGUCUAACAAAAGCAUUUUGUGACCCAAUUUCUUUCUCUUUUUUUUGCCUUAUUUUGAGGCUCUGCCUAUUCCAAAGUACCAUAGGCUCAAUGGAAAAGAGCAGGGGUGUUGGGAAUAUGAAGGACUGGCAGUGAGGGAGUAAGGAUUUGGGUAAAGUGAUGGACAGGCAUUAAGUUAGAGGAACAAUGGUAGGGACUUGGAGAAGUUAAAGGAACAUGGAUUGAGACCAGCAGUUGCAGAGCUGCUGGAGAAGCUCAGCUGCCUUCUUUCUCCCAUGCAGACCUGCUGGAGUGCAGACUGACUCUCAGUGAAGAUGAUCUAGAUGGGCACUGAGUGGUCCUUCAUUCAUUCUCUAACUUCUGUCUUCCUUUUUUCCAAACCAUCUGUUAGGAAAAGUUCUGCUGAGAAUGAACUUCUAUGCAUGUAGAGAAAGGAAUAAAAAAAAAAUCUCAGGGAAUCCGUACCUAGUGACGCAAAGAGAAGCGCGGAAGAGUCAAAGUCAUGGCCUGAGAAAAUUAUCUGGUCAGCAAUAUAAAAAAUGGAGAGAGCAUACAGCAAGACUAGAAAUGUAGAUUUGUCAGUAAUCAAGCAAGAUGCUUAAGAUUUUGAUGGUAUAUUUGUGGUGACAGGGAAGAGUGUGUUAAGUGGUGCACGUUAGAUAAGCUAGGCAUCACUUGGAAACCUGUGUGCCUGGACCACUUAGUGUCAUGCCCAGGCUGCUGCCAGGAUAGAGGUCCUGUCCACAGGAAGAAAGGAGGAAGACAUAUGGAAGGAAGGGGAGCCACGUUUUAACCUUGAGUUGAUGGCUAGAUGGGAAGGAUCUUGGAGCACUAACUUGGUCUAGGGGAGAGAGACCAGAAGUGUAACUGGAUGUGAGUUCUCCUCUUUUGCUGUUGUCUUGUCUGCCCACCUCAGCUUGGGCAGAGCCAUGGAAGCCCUCAGUCUUGUUCUCCCAAGGGAUUCUGUUCGAUGCUGGAACCAUGAAAGUAGGUUUAUGCUCCCACCCCAGGGAGCUGGGUACAUUUCCCAGUUCUGAGGCACGCAGGUGGGAGAGGGCAGGCCACUGCCUCUGCCCCUUUCUGUCUCCGCUUAAUGGCAGCAUUCCUGUCAAGACCCUGCUCAAGAAGUACAUUGUAGUUGUAAGGAAUUACAGAUUUUAUUUUAAGCAGUCAGUCUUGGAGGUCACAGUGUGGAGCCUUGAAAGACAUGUCUCAGAUAGUAGUGUUGCAGAAACACGGGUUUAUCCAGACAGGCCAUAUCCUUGCCUCCAGCCAUGACACUUGGGAAAUCCUCACUUGGGAAAUCUUGCUGGCUUCCAAGCCAGCAAGAGCUGACUUACGUGCACUUGCUAAUUCAGAGGGAAAAAUGGUUUUGUGUUCAAAGUGGGUUUCAGUUAUUUCUCAGGCUUUUGCUUUGAUGCUCAUCUGAUGCUUUCAAGUUAAUUUGGUUAUUUAUUAUCAAGGCUGUCUUACUGCAAGCAAAGGCCUCAUGGAGAAAAAAAUAUAUCUAGUUCUACAAAUUUUUAUUAGAAAAAAUGAAUAUUACAACUUUGCAAGGAUUUUAGCAGUAUGUAAAUUUUCCAUGAUAAACUAGCUUUAGCUACAGAAAUUACAGAGACCAAAACUUAUUUCUGCUGGUUCAUUUAUAAUUUGCAACAGCGUUGUCAACGAUAGUGUAUGGGGCUGCUGAAUCACGGCCUGAACCUUUGAUUGAUCUGAGGCGAGCAAUGAG